rnacentral:rRNA from 1 species
UCAAUCCUACGGGGGGCAGCAGUGGGGAAUAUCGCACAAUGGGGGAAACCCUGAUGCAGCGACGCCGCGUGAGUGAAGAAGUAUUUCGGUAUGUAAAGCUCUAUCAGCAGGGAAGAAAAUGACGGUACCUGACUAAGAAGCCCCGGCUAACUACGUGCCAGCAGCCGCGGUAAUACGUAGGGGGCAAGCGUUAUCCGGAUUUACUGGGUGUAAAGGGUGCGAAGGGGGCAGGGCAAGUCA